rnacentral:rRNA from 1 species
GACGAACGCUGGCGGCGUGCCUAAUACAUGCAAGUGGGACGCAAGGGAACACACUGUGCUUGCACACCGUGUUUUCUUGAGUCGCGAACGGGUGAGUAACGCGUAGGUAACCUGCCUAUUAGCGGGGGAUAACUAUUGGAAACGAUAGCUAAUACCGCAUAAUAUCAAUUAUUGCAUGAUAAUUGAUUGAAAGAUGCAAGCGCAUCACUAGUAGAUGGACCUGCGUUGUAUUAGCUAGUUGGUAAGGUAAGAGCUUACCAAGGCGACGAUACAUAGCCGACCUGAGAGGGUGAUCGGCCACACUGGGACUGAGACACGGCCCAGACUCCUACGGGAGGCAGCAGUAGGGAAUCUUCGGCAAUGGACGAAAGUCUGACCGAGCAACGCCGCGUGAGUGAAGAAGGUUUUCGGAUCGUAAAGCUCUGUUGUAAGUCAAGAACGUGUGUGAGAGUGGAAAGUUCACACAGUGACGGUAGCUUACCAGAAAGGGACGGCUAACUACGUGCCAGCAGCCGCGGUAAUACGUAGGUCCCGAGCGUUGUCCGGAUUUAUUGGGCGUAAAGGGAGCGCAGGCGGUCAGGAAAGUCUGGAGUAAAAGGCUAUGGCUCAACCAUAGUGUGCUCUGGAAACUGUCUGACUUGAGUGCAGAAGGGGAGAGUGGAAUUCCAUGUGUAGCGGUGAAAUGCGUAGAUAUAUGGAGGAACACCAGUGGCGAAAGCGGCUCUCUGGUCUGUCACUGACGCUGAGGCUCGAAAGCGUGGGUAGCGAACAGG